GUAGUCCUAACUUUUUCCAACUGCUCUCUACUAACGCACACAGAAAACUCCAGGAAAACUCAACGUCAUCUUUCAUUCCAACUACUGAACUGGAUACAUCGGGAUGUUUGCCACUAAAUCAGCGGCCUCAGGUGCCAAGAGCUCCUCUAGGACUUCACGCAUCAGACGAUACCAAACUUGGCCGCAAGUGGGGCAAUGCGUGAGAAUCUGUUGAUCAGGCUGGACAUGCAUGCGCUCCACCGCUCUUCUCACCCUGUGCUUCCUCGUGAUCCGAUCUGCUGUGGGGUUGCGACGCACAGGACCAGACUGCUGACCGUCUCGCACCAUCUCCAAAACGCUGUCAAAACUUCCUCCAAGCAACCGUUUUUUCCCCGGCAAGAAUCCGGCCUUAACUCCCUCCUGCAGAAUAUUCCCUUCAUAUCCAGGAUAUCCCUGGCAUCCCUCCUAAUCUAGCCCUAACUUUAUUCUUGGGGUUAUCCCACAUCCGGAAUAUUCCGAUAACACCAAUCUUCUGGAACACACCUCGUAGUACCUGCAAACUUCUCGCAUCUCCGGCUCAUAACUCGGAAAUUUCCUGCUGCAACUCUUCGCUCACAUCUUCUGGAACAAGUUAGUGGGAUGACACCACUCCACCUCGAAUCCAGCUCCAGCCCCUGGAGCUGCUCUCACCACUCUCCACCCGUCUUCACUGCUGAUCCGCUUGUCUAGUAUAGUACCUCCUCAAUCGAAAACCAUUUACCUUCGUUGGCAACGGGUUUCCUGCCAAAUCUUCCAGCUGAACGACACCUUUUGCACUCACCUCCAUCACCCGGUAUGGUCCCAGCCACCUCAUCUUCAGCUUCCCUGGGUGCUUCCAGAACUUGGAGUCGUAGAGAAGAACCAGAUCCCCCUUCGUAAACUCUCGCUUCCGCAGGUUCUUAUCAUGCCAGGCUUUCCUCCGAGCUUGAAUCACCCUUCUGUUCUGGUAAGAAACUAACCGAUCCUCAUCCAAGACAUCCAGCUCCUUCACUCGCUUCUCCAAACUUCCCUGCCAAUCCAUAUCAUGCUCCACCGCUGUGCGAAGCGCCGGUAGCUCCAGCUCAAUCGGCAACACAGCCUCCUGUCCAUAAACUAGCUGGAAUGGUGAAAACUUAGUGGUUACCUUGAAUGCAACUCGGUAAGCCCACACUGCAUCCUGGAUCCGCUUGUCCCAGUCCCCUCUAGUCGCUGAGCAUGUUUUGGUCACCACUCGGCACAAGGUUCCAUUGGUGCGCUCAACUUGGCCGUUGCAUCUCGGGUAGUAAGGCGUCGACUUGGAAUGAUACACGUCGUAGACCGUCGUCAAAGCCUCCACCACUUCGUUAAGAAAGUGCGUUCCCCGGUCACUGACGAGCUCCAGGGGGCAACCGAAUCUCGUGAUCACCUGCUCGUACAGGAACUCCGCCACCUUCCUGCCGGUGUCUUCCCGCAACGGCUUCACCUCCACCCACUUCGUCACGUAAUCUGUACAGACCACCACGUACUUACAGCCUGUUCGCCGAGCUGGUGGAAACGGGCCACAAAAAUCUAUGCCCCACUUCUCAAAUGCCAUCACCGGUACUAUUGGCUGUAGCGGCAAAUAACUCCUCCUGUCCGGCUUUCCAGCUCUCUGGCACUGGUCACAAGUCUUCACGUACUCCAGCACAUCCUUCCGGAGAGUAGGCCACCAGUAGCCAGCUCUCUGUAUCAGCUCCGCAGUAUUCGCUGCAUGAAAAUGGCCACCCACGGCCGAGUCAUGGCACUCCCGCAGCAACCUGGGAACUUCUUCUGGUAGAACGCAUCGUCGCAGCACCCCAUCUCGUCCCACUCUGUACAGGUGCUCAGCCACCACUGUAAACAACCGGCUUUGAAGCAGCAGUCUUCUUCUCUCGCUCUUGGUCAACUCAGGUGGAUAAACUCCAGUGCUCAUGAACUCCAUCAUCUCCUCAUACCAACCCGGCAAGAGCUCAAUCUUGUACACUGUCGCAUCCGGAAACUCGUCUUCCACUCCCGCUGAACUUUCCACUGCUGGUAACCUCGACAAGUGAUCCGGCAUGCUAUGGCUUUUUCCCGGCUUCAAAACAAUUCGGAACUCAAACUCCUGAAGAAGCAGUAGCCAGCGCAUGAUCUUGCCCGUCUUACAAGGUUUACUGAUCAGGUACUUGAGAGCUUGAUGAUCAAGGUAGAAGACAAACUCACGUCCCAGCAGGUAGUGCCGAUACUGCUGGAUCGUAUAAAUCAUUCCCAGUCCCUCUCUCUCUGUUGCCGAGUAGUUUCUCUCCGCCAGAUUGAGCUGACGACUGCUGAAGCAGACUGGGUGAUCCCAAUUCUCGUGAGGUUGACACAGAACCGCACCGAUCGCCACUCCAGAGGUGUCCACAUGCACAUGAAACUCCACUUCCCAAUCUGGCAUUCGCAGAAUCGGGGCCUGAACCAGCGCUCUUUUUAGCUCCUCAAACGCCUGCUGGCACUUCUCGCUCCAAGCAAACUCCACACCUUUCUUGAGCAGGCAUGUGAGAGCUUGAGCUUUAUCGGCAAACCCUCGGAUGAACCUGCGAUGGUACCCCACAUGCCCGAGGAAUCCUUGCAGCUCUUUCACCGAACUCGGAGCUCGUAACUUCUCAAUCACCGCAACCUUUCCCGGAUCCACCGCCAUUCCUUCCCUGGAAACUAUCCUUCCCAAAAGUAUUCCGUGUGUAACCCCAAGUUGACACUUGUAAGGGUUCAAAGACAUGCCGAAUUCUCUGCACCUCACGAAACACUUCUCCAGUGAAUUGACAUGAUCCUCCUCAGCUCCAAACACGCUAAAGUCAUCCAAGAAGACCUCCAUGCUUGUUCGCAUGUACGGCUGGAAAGCUGCAGUCACUGCUCGCUGAAAAGUGGCAGGGGCGUUACAUAGGCCGAAUGGCAUGACCCGGUACGCAUAGCAGCCCCACUCUGUGACGAACGCUGUCUUCAACUGAUCCUCCUCCGCUAUCACCACCUGAUUGUAACCGCUGAACCCGUCGAGAAACGAGUAGAGCUCGUGCCCGGCCACAGCAUCCAACACCACAUCAGUAAAAGGCAGCGGAAAUCCAUCCUUCACAGUCGCCUCGUUGAGCUUGCGGAAAUCCACGCACACUCGCAGUUGCCCGGUUUUCUUGAGCACUACUACAAUCGGGGAAAGCCAUUCGCUCCACUCCACCUCGAAAAUGAACCCAGCCUGGAGCAACUUCUCGAGCUCUUCUUUCACCUGCUUCGAGUAGUGAGGAUUCAUUCGGUAAGGCCUCUGCCUCACUGGCAUUGCACCAGACUUCAGAGUGAUCCGAUGGCAAGCGAGCUUUGGACUGAUGCCCCGCAUAUCCUUGUAACUCCACGCAAAUACAUCAAUGUAUCUGCGGCAGAGUUGUAUCACCAACUUCCUCAGCCUAUUGGACAAUGCUCUUCCGAGCUUCACAGGCUUCUCCUCCCCUGGCUCUCCGAGGUUCACCUCCUCCAGCUCUGGCUUGGUGACAUACGUGCUGGCUCCAGUACCAUCCACUUGAAUUGCAGGCACCUCGUUGAUGGGCAAUACGUCCUCUUUCUGGGCAUCUGCGGUGAAGCGCAUCGGAAAGCUCAAAGCUCCUCCCUCCUCUCGCUGAUUGAGCUCCACGCUCACCAUUCCACAGCUCACAUCCCCGCCUCGUAACCAGUGCGCCAGACGAUCACUCAAAGUUCCCUCCAGCAUCGGGUCCAGGACCAAGUUUUCAUAUCCGGAAUUCCCCUGGGCUGCAACUGCUGCAACAGCCACUGUCUCGACUGUUUCCCGACUUUCCACCUCUGUGAUUGAACUUUCCUGCUUCACCGAGGCUGUUCCCGAGGUUGUGUCGCUGCUGUUAUCAAUAGCAUCGUCCUUCUCCAGCGCAAUCGGGGUCGCCCCAUACGAGUUCUUCAUGGCAACCUGUACCGUCCUAGUAUUAUUGCCAUCUCCGAGCGUGAUAAAACCCGUAGGCCAACUCUGAUCCACACAAGCUUGCCUCAGCCACGGCCUUCCUAGGAUUGCCGGGUAGCUCUGCUUCAUGCCCUCCAUCCUCAGCACCACGUAAUCCACAAAAAAGGUGAAGCCUGCGAUCUCAGUUUUGACCCCCGUGAUCACUCCGAGUGGCUUCGACUUGGUCUGAUUCGCCAUCCUCACCCUGAAGUGAACCGGGACUGGUGGAUCUAGCCCGAGCUUGGCAACCAUCUCCUCUGGCAAAACAUUGAUUGCUGAACCUCCAUCGAUCACGCAAUCUCGGAGAUGCACCCCAGAGAUCUCCCCGUCGAUCACCGGCGUAUUAAGGUCGAUAAUCGGCCAUGCUGCGUUCACCACCACUUCACGAUGCUCCUUCACGGCAGUGUUCACAACUUUCCUCAAGCCUGGCGCCAGCUGAAGCAACUGAGCAAAGGUGAUGCUCGGCCUCUGAUUUUCCAGGUCUUGGAGAAUGUCAUACGGCUUUGUCUCCAAGUUUAGUACUCGUUUAUAUCGUCUCCGGCGCUCACCCUGCUUCCUCUUCAGGACUGGUUUCCUACCCAUUUUAAACUCACUGAGCUGCUGCUUCAUCCGGCUCGGACCAGACAGCCCUGCGUUCUCGAGAACUUGAGCAAAUUUUCUUUUCUCCUCCAAGCUCGGAAUCACUUCAACUCUAUCCUCUGCGUGAUCUUGUUCCUCCACUGCCACAUCACCCGCAGGUUCAGGCCAGCUCCUCAACUUUUCCACUGCCUCCAAUUCUUUGAGCUUACGGCGAUUUUCCUUUGCAAUGGCCUCUGGGUCCACUCCGAAAUCGAAACCAGAGUUUGCAGUGUGCAAUUCCCCUCCUCGCUGUCGGUAAGCUCCUCGGGUUUCCAUCACGUACACUGGGGGAUCGUUCCUCUCCUCUUCAAAAUCCUCUGCCGCAACAAAAAUUGCUUUUGACUCCACCACCCGCUUGCCUCGGUCCCCAGCGGACUCGGGUUUCGCCUGCGAUUGAGGUAGCUGCAGUCGGUGUGGGCACUGGUCCUGAGUAUGCAAGCCUUGAGUUUGACAGAUACCACAGAUUGGCUUGUAACCCUCGGGCUUCCUCGCGUUAGGGCAAUUUGGGGCGAUAUGCCCUUCCUCCCGGCACCGGUAACAAAUGACGACCCCGCGGGGUCGUCGACUCCACCCGCUUUGCUGCUGAUAUGCCGGGACUUGCUGCAAGUUUCCCUGGUUCACUGGCUCCACAGCAUACACCGGGUAAGCUCCCUGUUGAGGCUGAGUCGUUUGGGGCUGCACAUAGAAUCCAGCACCCAUCUGCUGGCCCGGCAAGGUCUGGUACACGGGCUGAGCUGCCAUUGGUCCUACCGCUGGAACUUGCUGCUCCCUCAUUCUAGCAAAGCAGUUCUCAGUGGUGUGAUUUGUUCGCCGACAGUAACCACAGCGAGGUCGAGCUGGCUGGGGAUUCUGACACUCAUUGGGGUAGUGCCCAUAGCCCUUGCAUCGCACGCACCAAAUCUCGGCGCGGUCCACCACCUUCCGAGGUUGCGCCUCAGUUUGGCCUCUCACCAAGUUCACUUGUAGCUCUGCCAUCUGCUUGGUGAGGGUUUCCACUACAUCUUCUUUCACCUUUGCCAGUUGUGACUCGAAGUUUGGUAGGUGUUGACUCGUCAUUGGAAUUGACAGAGCUGGAGCCGCCGGUACUGCUGGUAACAGAGUCGACUGGAGCUGCAACUGGGGCUGGGGCAUAUACUGAACCCCCGCCAUCACACUUGGGUAAGCUCCAGACGCGUAGGAUGACCUCGAUCCCAGCCUCGCUUGCUCCCACGUCGCUGCAUGCUCGAUAGCUGCAUUCAAAUCUUGAGGUCUGUGAAUUUUCACGUGGAAACUGAGCUCGUAGGGCAGCCCGUUGAGAUAACAACGGACUUGAUCUUCUGCAGGUGGAGCCGGAUUCUUUCUCUGCAGUAGCGCUCUGUACCUCCGAGUAUAGUCCUGCAACGUCUCUCCUGGCAGGAGCUGAAUAGAAUUCAACUCCUCGGUGAUCCGGGUACUAAACCCGAAUGGCCUGAACUGCCCCAGAAAUGCUCUUUUCAACGCAUCCCAGGUGGCAAAUGCUGGUUGUGCUCCCGCAACAACAGCAGAAGCUUGAGCGUACCAAUCCAUCGCCGGACCGGAGAGCGUUGUGGGAAACCACCUCAGCCUCGCUGCAUCCGCCUGCUCUUGAUUUGCCAAGCUCACCACCUCGAACGCCGUGAUAUGAGAAUCUGGAUCGCUCAGGUUGGUGAACUUUUGAUAUUUUUCUCUUCCUCCUCCUGCUGCCGGCUGAGCCAUAUUGUUUGGUGGCGCAGGUGGAACCAGAUUAACCGGGUUCAAAGUCACUGUCAGGCUUGCCGAUCCGGUUGGAGAAGUUGGCAGUGUAAACUCCGCCUCUGGUGAAGUCGGGGGGGCUGGAGGUGAUGAACUCUGAAACUCCCCCCAGUUGUUGCCCUCCUCUACACUCUCUACUCUACGCUGCUCCGGGCUGUUCCACGGUGUACUGGUCUCAGCUGGUACCGAAUUCCUUCUCAAGUAUCUCUCGCUUCGAGACUCUUUUUGUUUUUGUUUAGUUUCUUCAUCAAAGCGAUAGUAUUCCGGGUGUCGGCUCAGCGGCCUCCUCUUUCCACAGGGGUGUUCCGGAUGGUCCACGGCUACCCAGUCUGUGCUACUCGAGGUAGGCUCCCGGCUGACGCACCAUUUGUAGUCCUAACUUUUUCCAACUGCUCUCUACUAACGCACACAGAAAACUCCAGGAAAACUCAACGUCAUCUUUCAUUCCAACUACUGAACUGGAUACAUCGGGAUGUUUGCCACUAAAUCAGCGGCCUCAGGUGCCAAGAGCUCCUCUAGGACUUCACGCAUCAGACGAUACCAAACUUGGCCGCAAGUGGGGCAAUGCGUGAGAAUCUGUUGAUCAGGCUGGACAUGCAUGCGCUCCACCGCUCUUCUCACCCUGUGCUUCCUCGUGAUCCGAUCUGCUGUGGGGUUGCGACGCACAGGACCAGACUGCUGACCGUCUCGCACCAUCUCCAAAACGCUGUCAAAACUUCCUCCAAGCAACCGUUUUUUCCCCGGCAAGAAUCCGGCCUUAACUCCCUCCUGCAGAAUAUUCCCUUCAUAUCCAGGAUAUCCCUGGCAUCCCUCCUAAUCUAGCCCUAACUUUAUUCUUGGGGUUAUCCCACAUCCGGAAUAUUCCGAUAACACCAAUCUUCUGGAACACACCUCGUAGUACCUGCAAACUUCUCGCAUCUCCGGCUCAUAACUCGGAAAUUUCCUGCUGCAACUCUUCGCUCACAUCUUCUGGAACAAGUUAGUGGGAUGACAAGCAUCUAGCAUUUUAAUGUUAGGACCAGCAUGCAAAAUAGAGCCAAACAGAGUCAAGCACUAUUUCUGUAUAUUGGUGGUCUAAUGCUAAGAUAUGGGUACUCCACCAGCUAGUAUAGU
rnacentral:lncRNA from 1 species